GAUGAACGCUGGCGGCGUGCUUAACACAUGCAAGUCGAACGGGAAUUACUUUAUUGAAACUUCGGUCGAUUUAAUUUAAUUCUAGUGGCGGACGGGUGAGUAACGCGUGGGUAACCUGCCUUGUACAGGGGGAUAACAGUCAGAAAUGACUGCUAAUGCCGCAUAAGCGCACAGGACCGCAUGGUCCGGUGUGAAAAACUCCGGUGGUAUAAGAUGGACCCGCGUUGGAUUAGCUAGUUGGCAGGGUAACGGCCUACCAAGGCGACGAUCCAUAGCCGGCCUGAGAGGGUGAACGGCCACAUUGGGACUGAGACACGGCCCAGACUCCUACGGGAGGCAGCAGUGGGGAAUAUUGCACAAUGGGGGAAACCCUGAUGCAGCGACGCCGCGUGAAGGAAGAAGUAUCUCGGUAUGUAAACUUCUAUCAGCAGGGAAGAAAAUGACGGUAC
rnacentral:rRNA from 1 species